UGCGACGCCCGGAUUUUCGUCUUCAAUUUUACUUAUUUACAAUAAGAAAUGGUGUUGGACACACGACGAUUACUGAUCGAAGCAACAAGCACGUGGGGAAACCAUUGGAAGGAUGACGUAACGCGCAUGCGUGACGAUACAGCUUCCUUGUUGCCGCUUAAUCCGCCAUUCGGAAUUAGUUCGUGGCACGUGUCCCAACCAAGCUUCGUCCUCUCGUUAAUUGCAG